rnacentral:rRNA from 1 species
GAAUUUAAUAUAAUUUUUUUAUAAAUUAGUAUAAUUAUUAUAUUUAAUUGGGGGGAUUAUUAAAUUUAAAAAACUUUAAUAUAAAAAAAACUUUGAUUAAAGAAAAUAUUUUUUUUAAUAAUGAGUAAUUUGAAUUAUUUAAGAAUUAAUUACCUUAGGGAUAACAGCAUAAUAAUUUUUUUUAGAUCUUAUAUAAAAAAUUGUUUAU